rnacentral:rRNA from 1 species
AACAGGAUUAGAUACCCUGGUAGUCCACGCCGUAAACGAUGUCGACUUGGAGGCUGUUCCCUUGAGGAGUGGCUUCCGGAGCUAACGCGUUAAGUCGACCGCCUGGGGAGUACGGCCGCAAGGUUAAAACUCAAAUGAAUUGACGGGGGCCCGCACAAGCGGUGGAGCAUGUGGUUUAAUUCGAUGCAACGCGAAGAACCUUACCUGGCCUUGACAUCCACGGAACUUGGCAGAGAUGCCUUGGUGCCUUCGGGAACCGUGAGACAGGUGCUGCAUGGCUGUCGUCAGCUCGUGUUGUGAAAUGUUGGGUUAAGUCCCGCAACGAGCGCAAUCCUUAUCCUUUGUUGCCAGCGAUUCGGUCGGGAACUCAAAGGAGACUGCCGGUGAUAAACCGGAGGAAGGUGGGGAUGACGUCAAGUCAUCAUGGCCCUUACGGCCAGGGCUACACACGUGCUACAAUGGCGCAUACAAAGAGAAGCGACCUCGCGAGAGCAAGCGGACCUCAUAAAGUGCGUCGUAGUCCGGAUCGGAGUCUGCAACUCGACUCCGUGAAGUCGGAAUCGCUAGUAAUCGUGGAUCAGAACGCCACGGUGAAUACGUUCCCGGGCCUUGUACACACCGCCCGUCACACCAUGGGAGUGGGUUGCAAAAGAAGUAGGUAGCUUAACCUUCGGGAGGGCGCUUACCACUUUGUGAUUCAUGACUGGGGUGAAGUCGUAACAAGGUAGC